GGGGUCGAUCCGGUUUCGACGUGGGUCGCGAAACAGAGCAGGGCAUGCCGAGCGCCAGUGAGCUCGUAAAUCCAACUGGAAACAAUACAAACGCCAACGACGAGCGUUUCGCUUUAGCCGCUUAAUGCGGUAAGCCGUUGCACUGAUUUGUCUUUGGGUCAGGUAGGGUAAAACCUACAGCAACGUCACUUACAAAGAAUCGGGGUUGGUUGGGUCACUCAGCCAAUUCUUAAAUUAAUGUGAAUCGCCAAGGAAGGGCCUGUUGGUUGGCACGCACCGAGGUUAAAACUUUAAAAUUAACCGACUAAGCAUGUAGAACUGCCUGCAGAGGGCUUGCGGACGGGGGUUCAAUUCCCCCCGACUCCACCA
rnacentral:tmRNA from 1 species